UACGUAGGGCGCGAGCGUUGUCCGGAUUUAUUGGGCGUAAAGAGCUCGUAGGCGGCUUGUCGCGUCGACUGUGAAAUCCCGCGGCUCAACUGCGGGUCUGCAGUCGAUACGGGCAGGCUAGAGUUCGGUAGGGGAGACUGGAAUUCCUGGUGUAGCGGUGAAAUGUGCAGAUAUCAGGAGGAACACCGGUGGCGAAGGCGGGGUCUCUGGGCCGAUACUGACGCUGAGGAGCGAAAAGCGUGGGGGAGCGAACAGG
rnacentral:rRNA from 1 species